rnacentral:lncRNA from 1 species
GGGUUGAGCUGUCUACCAGGCCUUGUACCGGUACAAGAAACCGUGUACCGGUACAAGGAGGCCGAAACAGCAGGAUGAGUUGCAGAUUUUGGAAAAACAGAGGGACUUAGCAGGGUAUUGUUACAACAUGUGAUGAGGGGUUAUUAGAGAGAGUAUUCCCUCUCUCUCUCCCACUCCCACAGCUCCCUAUCUCUCUCUGCUCGUGCAAACCGGAGAAGAGAAAGAAGAAGAAAAAGAGAAGAAGAAAAAGAGAAGGAAAAGGAGAAGAUGGUGAGGACCAAGUAGAAGAUCCUCUCCCUCGUCUUCAUCUUCAUCUUCUUCCUCAUUUGGAGCUCUAGG